UCCCAUCGCCUCACGGCGGAUCUGGGCGCUGCCUUACGGCUCGCCUUAAAUGCAUUAGCGAGGACAACCGUGCUUGCGCUGGCGUGAUAAUUGUCUCGCCUCAGCUCGCAUACAUGGCCUGCUUCCAAUCGCACGGCGUUCCGUGCACUAUUCUAC
rnacentral:misc_RNA from 1 species